AAUCAUGGCUCAGGAUUAACGCUGGCGGCGUGCCUAAUACAUGCAAGUCGAAUGGUAGCAAUACCAUGGCGAACGGGUGAGUAACACGUAGGUAACCUGUCUUUAAGCCGAGGAUAACCAUUGGAAACGAUGGAUAAUACUGGAUAGGACAUUUGAAGGCAUCUUUAGAUGUUUAAAGAUUUAUCACUUAGAGAGGGGCCUGCGGCGCAUUAGCUAGUUGGUGAGGUGAAGGCUUACCAAGGCGAUGAUGCGUAGCCGGACUGAGAGGUUGAACGGCCACAAUGGAACUGAGAACGGUCCAUACUCCUACGGGAGGCAGCAGUAGGGAAUUUUCGGCAAUGGGCGGAAGCCUGAACCCGAGCAACGCCGCGUGAACGAAGAAGUAUUUCGGUAUGUAAAGUUCUUUUAUUAGGGACGAAAAGACAGAUUGACGGUACCUAAUGAAUAAGCUCCGGCUAACUACGUGCCAGCAGCCGC
rnacentral:rRNA from 1 species